rnacentral:rRNA from 1 species
AUUAUUAUUUAAAAAUAAAACCUGCCCAUUGAAUUUUAAUUUUUUAAAGGCCGCAGUAUUUUGACUGUGCUAAGGUAGCAUAAUCAUUAGAUUUUUAAUUGUAAUCUUGAAUGAAUGGUUUAAUGAGAUAAAGUCUUUUUUAUUUAUGAUAUUGAAUUUUAUUUUUUAGUUAAAAAGCUAAAAUAAAAUAAAAGGACGAGAAGACCCUAUAGAAUUUUAUAUUUUUUAUAUUAUUUUAAAUUUUAUAUUAUUAAAUUUUUUUAUUUAAAAUAUUUUAUUGGGGCGAUAAUUAAAUUUAAUUAACUUUAUAUAAUAUUUUUCAUUAAUAAUUGUUUUAAUGAUCUUUUUUUAUUGAUUAAAAAUUUAAAUUACCUUAGGGAUAACAGCAUAAUAUUAUUAAGAAGUUCUUAUUUUUAAUAUUGUUUAUGACCUCGAUGUUGGAUUAAAAUAAAAUUUUUAUGUGAAGAUACAUUUAUAAUUAGUCUGUUCGACUUUUAAUUAUUUACAUGAUC